rnacentral:rRNA from 1 species
GCUACGGCCAACCAGCCUGGGUACGCCCGAUCUUGUCUGAUCUCGGAAGCUAAGCAGGGUCGGGCCUGGUUAGUACUUGGAUGGGAGACCGCCUGGGAAUACCAGGUGCUGUAAGCA